GAUGAACGCUAGCGGCAGGCUUAAUACAUGCAAGUCAAGGGGUAGCAAUACACCGGCGGACGGGUGCGUAACGCGUACACAACAUACCCUUGAGCGGGGGGAUAGCAUCGGGAAACUGGUGGUAACACCCCAUAGUGUUGUAGGAUGGCAUCAUUUUACAACUAAAGGUUACACUCAAGGAUUGGUGUGCGUAUGAUUAGCUAGUUGGUAAGGUAACGGCUUACCAAGGCUUUGAUCAUUAGGGGGUGUGAGAGCAUGACCCCCCACACGGGUACUGAGACACGGACCCGACUCCUACGGGAGGCAGCAGUAAGGAAUAUUGGACAAUGGUCGGAAGACUGAUCCAGCCAUGCCGCGUGAAGGACGAAGGCGCUCUGCGUUGUAA
rnacentral:rRNA from 1 species